CCUACGGGGGGCAGCAGUGGGGAAUAUUGCACAAUGGGCGCAAGCCUGAUGCAGCCAUGCCGCGUGUGUGAAGAAGGCCUUCGGGUUGUAAAGCACUUUCAGCGGGGAGAAAGGCGGUGAGGUUAAUAACCUCAUCGAUUGACGUUACCCGCAGAAGAAGCACCGGCUAACUCCGUGCCAGCAGCCGCGGUAAUACGGAGGGUGCAAGCGUUAAUCGGAAUUACUGGGCGUAAAGCGCACGCAGGCGGUCUGUCAAGUCGGAUGUGAAAUCCCCGGGCUCAACCUGGGAACUGCAUUCGAAACUGGCAGGCUAGAGUCUUGUAGAGGGGGGUAGAAUUCCAGGUGUAGCGGUGAAAUGCGUAGAGAUCUGGAGGAAUACCGGUGGCGAAGGCGGCCCCCUGGACAAAGACUGACGCUCAGGUGCGAAAGCGUGGGGAGCAAACAGGAUUAGAUACCCCGGUAGUC
rnacentral:rRNA from 1 species